GUUCUUGAUUUUCGAGCAGGGAGAGUUACGCAGGUGCGCUUCUUGAUUUUAGUUCUAUUUUGGAUAUUUCGGUUCUAUGUUAGAUGGUAAGCUAGGGUUUGCUAAGAAAUUUUCUGCUUAUUUUCCAGCCGAGAAAUCCUUCGAAUUUCUAUUCCAUUUCUUUGUUUUGAUGCUUAGUUUUGCAUCUUCAAAGGAAGAACAAGCCAUUCCAGAAAAUGUCGAGGAAGAAACUGUGGAGCAAGACAUCGCUAGGGAGGGGGAGCCAGAUGCCUAGCCUACCCUUAGCCUGUGUUGGGUCUGUAUAUGAUGUUGGAAAUUUUAUUUUGAUUGGUUUGUAAAAUCGUUGGAGGCAUGUAUUUUUAAGACAAAAUGUUUUGUGAAUCAGGUAGAUGUGUCUACCCGGGAGAUGACUAUAGUUUUAACCUGUAAUUAAUGGGAUCGUCCUGUAUUUUGAUAAAUAGGUAUUUUGGGACUUUGAAAAAUGAUAGAAAUGGGGAAUGUCCCUUUUCAAAAUUUUUA